rnacentral:lncRNA from 1 species
GCUCUCCCUUCUUUCUUACAACCCAUCUUAAUUUUAGGACAAGGCUUUAGGAUUUAAGACAAAGCCUUAUCUAGUCCUAACAAGGGUUGAAAAGGUUUUAAAAAAGGUGAAUCAAAAGUUUAGAGGAGGUUCUGAGAGGGGCGAGUCAGGUUCUUGGAGAAACCUGACCGAUACAGGGCUAAUCGAGUUCUAGGGGCUAGAACUUCUGAAGCAAGGUGAAGGAGUGCUGUCUUUGGUUCAAUUUUCGUAUGGAUCACUAUUAG